GAUGAACGCUGACAGAAUGCUUAACACAUGCAAGUCAACUUGAACUUCGGUUUGGGUGGCGGACGGGUGAGUAACGCGUAAAGAACUUGCCUCACAGAUAGGGACAACAUUUGGAAACGAAUGCUAAUACCUGAUAUUAUGAUUAUAUGGCAUCGUAUAAUUAUGAAAGCUAUAUGCGCUGUGAGAGAGCUUUGCGUCCCAUUAGCUAGUUGGAGAGGUAACGGCUCACCAAGGCGAUGAUGGGUAGCCGGCCUGAGAGGGUGAUCGGCCACAAGGGGACUGAGACACGGCCCUUACUCCUACGGGAGGCAGCAGUGGGGAAUAUUGGACAAUGGACCAAGAGUCUGAUCCAGCAAUUCUGAGUGCACGAUGAAGUUUUUCGGAAUGUAAAGUGCUUUCAGUUGGGAAGAAAAAAAUGACGGUACCAACAGAAGAAGUGACGGCUAAAUACGUG
rnacentral:rRNA from 1 species